rnacentral:rRNA from 1 species
CGAGGUCCCAAGCGUUGUUCGGAUUCACUGGGCGUAAAGGGUGCGUAGGCGGUCGGCAAAGUCUGAUGUGAAAUCUCCGGGCCCAACCCGGAAACUGCAUCGGAUACUGGUCGGCUAGAGGAUUGGAGGGGGGACUGGAAUUCUCGGUGUAGCAGUGAAAUGCGUAGAUAUCGAGAGGAACACCAGUGGCGAAGGCGAGUCCCUGGACAAUUCCUGACGCUGAGGCACGAAAGCUAGGGGAGCAAACAGGAUUAGAGACCCGAGUAGUCC